rnacentral:rRNA from 1 species
AAUCAACGCUGGCGGCGUGCCUCAGACAUGCAAGUCGAACGAUUAAAGCUCUCUUCGGAGAGUGUAUAGAGUGGCGCACGGGUGAGUAACACGUAAGUAAUCUGCCUUUGAGUGGGGAAUAACAAUCGGAAACGAUUGCUAAUACCGCAUAAUGCAGCGGCAUCGCAAGAUGACAGUUGUUAAAGGAGCAAUCCGCUUAAAGAGGAGCUUGCGGCAGAUUAGCUUGUUGGUAAGGUAACGGCUUACCAAGGCUACGAUCUGUAUCCGGUCUAAGAGGACGGUCGGACACACUGACACUGAAUAACGGGUCAGACUCCUACGGGAGGCAGCAGUCGGGAAUUUUGGGCGAAUGGGGAAACCCGUGACCCAGCAACGCCGCGUGGAAGGAUGAAGUAUUUCGGUAUGUAAAC